ACGGGAGGCAGCAGUGAGGAAUAUUGGUCAAUGGGCGAGAGUCUGAACCAGCCAAGUAGCGUGCAGGAUGACGGCCCUAUGGGUUGUAAACUGCUUUUGUACGGGAAUAAAGUGACCUACGUGUAGGUUUUUGCAUGUACCGUAAGAAUAAGGACCGGCUAAUUCCGUGCCAGCAGCCGCGGUAAUACGGAAGGUCCGGGCGUUAUCCGGAUUUAUUGGGUUUAAAGGGUGCGUAGGCGGGAUGUUAAGUCAGCGGUGAAAGCGUGUAGCUCAACUAUACCAAGCCGUUGAAACUGGCGUUCUUGAGUGUAAACGAGGUAGGCGGAAUGUGACGUGUAGCGGUGAAAUGCUUAGAUAUGUCACAGAACCCCGAUUGCGAAGGCAGCUUACCAGCAUACAACUGACGCUGAGGCACGAAAGUGCGGGGAUCAAACAGGAUUAGAUACCCUGGUA
rnacentral:rRNA from 1 species